CUACCAUGCAAGUCGCACGAACCUUUCGGGGUUAGUGGCGGACGGGUGAGUAACGCGUAGGAACCUAUCUGGAGGUGGGGGAUAACAUCGGGAAACUGGUGCUAAUACCGCAUGAUGCCUGAGGGCCAAAGGAGAGAUCCGCCAUUGGAGGGGCCUGCGUUCGAUUAGCUAGUUGGUUGGGUAAAGGCUGACCAAGGCGAUGAUCGAUAGCUGGUUUGAGAGGAUGAUCAGCCACACUGGGACUGAGACACGGCCCAGACUCCUACGGG
rnacentral:rRNA from 5 species